AGUGAACGCUGGCGGUAGGCCUAACACAUGCAAGUCGAACGGCAGCACAGUAAGAGCUUGCUCUUACGGGUGGCGAGUGGCGGACGGGUGAGGAAUACAUCGGAAUCUACUUUUUCGUGGGGGAUAACGUAGGGAAACUUACGCUAAUACCGCAUACGACCUACGGGUGAAAGCAGGGGAUCUUCGGACCUUGCGCGAUUGAAUGAGCCGAUGUCGGAUUAGCUAGUUGGCGGGGUAAAGGCCCACCAAGGCGACGAUCCGUAGCUGGUCUGAGAGGAUGAGCAGCCACACCGGAACUGAGACACGGUCCAGACUCCUACGGGAGGCAGCAGUGGGGAAUAUUGGACAAUGGGCGCAAGCCUGAUCCAGCCAUACCGCGUGAGUGAAGAAGGCCUUCGGGUUGUAAAGCCCUUUUGUUGGGAAAGAAAAGCAGCAGGUUAAUACCCCGCUGUUCUGACGGUACCCAAAGAAUAAGCACCGGCUAACUUCGUG
rnacentral:rRNA from 1 species